rnacentral:lncRNA from 1 species
GUUGACCGUGUGUACAUUUUUAGAAUGAAGCGCAGUUCAAGUAUAGUUAUUGUGAGUGGUUCAUGUCUGUCAUUAUUGUUUUUCGAAAAUGGUUUUGUUAUAAAUUAGACUGCUAGUUUUCUCUCUUGAAGUGUUUCACAUUUUUCAUCGUGGGACCUUUUUGUAGCCCGCUUUGUCACGGGUAUGAUUUUUGUUGAAUGCCGCAUGGUUAUAUACCUACAGUUGCCUCCUAGCACGUUAUUUUAACUUUUCAUUUUAAUUGCCUCAGGGUAUAUUGUAGCCUAGCAUCUCUGUGCAGCAUUUAUAUCUGAGAUUCUUAUAUGACGUCCUUCAAAUGCUUUGAGUACACUCCCGUGUUAAAAUAUGAAUUUAUCGCAACGCUGGUAAAAUAUCACGUCGUGAUUUGUUUAGCGCCGUCCCGUGGUGACCCCUAUGGAUCCGUAGUGGGGUAGUAAAUUUCAUAGGGGGUUCGUGACGCGUUAAUGGUGACGCUAUCCUCAGGGUAAAAUAUUUGUCAUCAAGGGUCAACCCGUGAUAAAAUCACGAUAUAUUCAAGCCCCCAUGAAUUAUUUCUUAAUUAGUCUAUGUUAAGCAGUUGUGUGUUUUAUCUGUAUAUUUAAACAGCAAAUUACUGAACAUUU